UACGUAGGGGGCAAGCGUUGUCCGGAUUCAUUGGGCGUAAAGAGCGUGUAGGCGGCCAGGUAGGUCGGUUGUGAAAACUGGAGGCUCAACCUUCAGACGUCGACCGAAACCACCUGGCUAGAGUCCGGGAGAGGAGAGUGGAAUUCCUGGUGUAGCGGUGAAAUGCGCAGAUAUCAGGAGGAACACCCGUGGCGAAAGCGGCUCUCUGGGACGGUACUGACGCUGAGACGCGAAAGCGUGGGGAGCAAACAGG
rnacentral:rRNA from 1 species